AAAGCAAAAUUGGAAAUAAGUAACUGCAGAGCCAAAUGAAACAAAGACUUGUCAGGGUCUCAUAAGAAAGAUCUGUCAAUGCCAAUAGAUUUAGACUUGUUUUGAAGAAUGUUAGCUUCCACAAGUAGAAACCCAAUGAAAAGUGUAGAUUUGCUCUUGGGAAAUAAAGGCAGGCAUAGAACUGUUUGAUUACAGUAAGGGUAACACUAAUUGUCAAGUUAGGAUGGAGAGGAUGUGGAGUAAGAGAAUGAUUUGUCAGAGUGAAAUUCAGAGGACAAUGUAGGUUUUGGAUCCAGUUAACAGAGUAGUCAAAGGAAGCCAGGAGUGGUAUGAAUGAAAAUAACACAAUAAAAAUUUGGCUAAUUUUUGCAAACAGCUAGGUAUAGACAGGCAUGAAUAUUCUAGUGACUUCCAUUUGUUCUCUCUUGUGGGGCAACAUUUAUUCAUUAAGGUCCACCAUUGUUUAAAAUUAAUGUCCCUCAGGACUUUCUCCCUUCCUGUGAUUUGUUUCCAUGCUCACCAAGCCUACUUUUCAUUUCAAUCCAAACUUCAGUUAUCUUGGCACAAGAAAAGGGCUCCUCUAGUUGGGUAAAGGAAGGAUUCUCCCAGUUACUGAUACUCCUUUCAUUUCUGAAUAAAAUGCUUAUAUCACAGUUUAUAGGUGAAGGCAAAAAACAACAAAGUACUGUACUCCCAAAUCCAUUUUUAAUAAGUUUUUAUUUAUAAGGUCAUCUACUUUAAAGUUGCUUUUGUGAAACUUAAUUUUCUAAAAUAUUUUUAAGUUAUAAAAUACACGUAUUUUGCUAUGUUAUAAAAUAUCGACUAGGUCAAUGAUAUCCCUGAAGAAGAUAAAACAUUUUGUCAAAAGGGAGAAGGUAGGAAACAAGGAGCAGCCAAAGUCGGAAUUAACCUGUUUUGAAAGUAAACAUUUGGUGUCUGCUGUGGCCCUCUUGGGCUUUGCAUAUUUCCCUUUGUUUUCUCACCCAGAAUCUGGUUAUGCUGUCCUUUUUGUCUCUGAGUGGGACUUCACUGAUGGUAGGUGUAUGAGUAGAAGUUUCCCUGCUAUCAGUUCACCAUCUAUGGGAGAGGCAGCCACGUCUGGAGCCAGAGCUUCCCUGCUUCAACUCGAGAAACAGGGGAUAUGUAACCUAGCUUUUUUUCAAGUUUUCUUUAAAACCUAGAAAUGAAGGUCCAUCUAUGAUAAAGAGAGAAGACAUUUUGGGAGGAAGGGGAUUCCUAAAAUUGAUCUUUAGCAGGUCUGUGAAAAGACAGUUCAAAUAUAUAUAAAAGACGAUGGUUGGCAUGGUAAGCAGAGAAGAGUGAAAAAUCAGCUGACGUGUUCACAAACCGAAACAACAUAAUGGUGUCUUGUUUCGCAAAACUCACUUCUUUUUUAUAAACAGAAUGACAGUUACUGAACUUUCCCCCUCUAUUCCUUUUUUAUUUUUCCCUCUGAUAGAAAAAUAUAUAUUUCUACUUAUUCUUUUAAAUUGAGGUAUAGUUGAUUUACAAUGUUGUGUUAUUUUCUGGUGUGCUGCAAAGCGAUUCAGUUAUAUAUAUAUUCAGUUAUAUGUGUGUGUGUGUAUACAUACAUAUAUAUAUAUAUAAAUAUAUUUCAGAUUAUUUUCCAUUAUAAGUCUAUUUCAAAAAAGAGAAAUAUUUCUGUUGUGUGUAUAUAUGGGGCAUUUUGCUCCAUGAACAGGGAGAAGCGCAAAGGCAAGUAAGCUACUUAACUGAAAUAUAUCUAGUUUAUCUGAUUAUCUUUUGCAUACAUAAUCUGUCUUUCUUCCAAUUAGAAUUUCUUCUAUGCCUGUGUAGCCACCCCAAAUUAUGUGGAGGUAAAUUAUAAUCAAAUCAGUUUUAAAUAGGAUAUUUUGAUGAUUACAUGUAAUACUAAUUUUUUGAAAGGAAAUUUCAAGAAAGUUUUAAUAGCUACCAUAAUUCAUCUCUAGUCCCUUCUCAUUCUAGAAUAUUUAAUGAUUAGAAUCAUAAGCGACAAUGACCUGAACCAGUGCUCUCAAUGGUACGUAAUCUUAGUUUUUAAUAUGCCAGAGGUUAAUAUAAUCAGUUAAGCAUAGAUCUCAUAUUAUUUUAUCACCCCUCUGUAUAUAAGGUUCCUUUGUAUCUACUGCUCUGCAUUCAUGAAUUCAACCAACUAUGGAUCAUGUAGUACUGUAGUAUUUACUUUUGAAAAAAAAUCCACAUAUCAGUGGGCCCACACAGUUCAAACCCAUGUUCAAAGGUCACCAGUUGUUGUUAUGAAGCCUGCGCAUAAGAGCAGAAGUUCAAAUGAAUAGAAUUUAGGGAUUAUUUAUAAAUAAAACCUCUCCUCCUCCUUUUUAAAGUUCAUUAAAUUCACCAGUUCCGGGAGUUCCCGUUGUGGCGCAGUGGUUAAGGAAUCCGACUAGGAACCUUUGAGGUUGCGGGUUCGGUCCCUGCCCUUGCUCAGUGGGUUAACGAUCCAGCGUUGCCGUGAACUGUGGUGUAGGUUGCAGACGCGGCUCGGAUCCUGCGUUGCUGUGGCUCUGGCGUAGGCCGGUGGCUACAGCUCCGAUUAGACCCCUAGCCUGGGAACCUCCAUAUGCCACGGAAGCGGC
ensembl:lncRNA